rnacentral:rRNA from 1 species
UACGUAGGGUGCAAGCGUUAAUCGGAAUUACUGGGCGUAAAGCGUGCGCAGGCGGUUGUGUAAGACAGAUGUGAAAUCCCCGGGCUCAACCUGGGAACUGCAUUUGUGACUGCACGGCUCGAGUGCGGCAGAGGGGGAUGGAAUUCCGCGUGUAGCAGUGAAAUGCGUAGAUAUGCGGAGGAACACCGAUGGCGAAGGCAAUCCCCUGGGCCUGCACUGACGCUCAUGCACGAAAGCGUGGGGAGCGAACAGG